CAGGCAUCUUAGCCCCUGCCAUGAAAUACCCCGGUUUUCAGGCCACCUCUUCUCUCCCCAUGCAGCCGCAGGAAACAUCUAGUCUGCCCCAUCUCGUUGCCGACGCUCCCUGAGCUCUGAUCGGUCUGCAAAACAACUUCUGCUCCGGAAACUCUUUUCUCAGAAACACCUGCGAGAGGGCCCUGUAACUGUGACUCAGCUAAUGACAUAUAUAACCCAAAGUCACACUGGAGACAUUGGCCCUUUUCUUUGAAGAAAUAAAUCAGCCUUCAGUAGUGACCUAGAUCCAAUUUCAAAAUUUCCAACUAAUUUUGGUCCAUGUACCAGAACUGUCCUAUUAUGAACCCAGAGCAAGGAGCUGCUCCACAGAAAAGGUAUUUACUCAAGAAAAAUGAAAGCAUCUGGGAGGAGAAGAGACUGAGCCUACCAGAGGGAAACUGAGACCACCCAAAGGCCCACAGGGCUAAUUCGAGAAACAAAUCAAAGCACACCUGAUGGAGGCUCCAAAACAUCACUACGAGUAGGGAAAUAAAAUAACCAAAGUCACAACAAUAGAGAGCAAAAACCACCUCCUGAACGGCAGGCUGUGGGC
rnacentral:lncRNA from 1 species